UACGUAGGGUGCAAGCGUUAAUCGGAUUUACUGGGCGUAAAGGGCGCGCAGGCGGCUCAUUUUGUCAGGCGUGAAAGCCCCGGGCUUAACCUGGGAACUGCGUUUGAUACGGAUGGGCUAGAGUUCGGGAGAGGAGAGUGGAAUUCUCAGUGUAGAGGUGAAAUUCGUAGAUAUUGGGAAGAACACCGGUGGCGAAGGCGGCUCUCUGGACCGAGACUGACGCUGAGGCGCGAAAGCGUGGGGAGCAAACAGG
rnacentral:rRNA from 1 species